AUGUCCGGGAUGUGGGAUCAGAGGCUGGUGCGUUUGGCGGUUGUACAGCAGCUUCGGGCUGCCUAUGGAAUUAAGGUCAAGGGUGGCCGUGCGCAGUGCGAUCGCAGGAGACAGGAAACAACAACCACGGAAACAGUGGGUAAAAUAUUUGGAGUAGCAUUAAAUGCAUUGCCCCAGGCUGUUGUACCAGAAUAUGGACAUAUUCCAAGUUUUCUUGUUGAUGCUUGCACGUCUUUAGAAGAGCAUGUUCAUACAGAAGGGCUUUUUAGGAAAUCAGGAUCUGUUAUUCGUCUAAAAGCACUAAAGAAUAAACUUGAUCAUGGUGAAAGAUGCCUGUCUUCUGCACCUCCUUGUGAUACCGCGGGACUUCUUAAGCAGUUUUUUAGGGAAUUGCCAGAGCCCAUUCUCCCGGCUGAUUUGCAUGAAGCACUUUUCAAAGCUCAACAAUUAAAAACAGAGGAGAAGAAUAAAGCUACAUUGUUGCUCUCCUGUCUUAUGGCUGACCACACAAUUGAUAUAUUAAGAUACUUCUUUAACUUUCUCAGGAAAGUUUCUCUUAGGUCCAGUGAAAAUAAGAUGGAUAGCAGCAAUCUUGCUGUAAUAUUUGCACCAAAUCUUCUUCAGACAAGUGAAGGACAUGAAAAGAUGUCUGCUAACACAGAAAAAAAGCUACGAUUACAGGCUGCAGUAGUACAAACUUUUAUUGAUUAUGCAUCAGAUAUCGGGCAUGUUCCAGAUUUUAUCCUAGAAAAGAUACCAGCUAUGUUGGGGAUUGAUGGUCUCUGCGCUACUCCAUCGCUAGAAGGCUUUGAAGAAGGUGAUUACGAAACUCCUGGUGACUAUAAGAGAAAACGAAGACAAAGUGUAGGAGCCCAGGUAUCCAUUUCACCAGCAAUUCUUACACCAAAUGCUAAGCGUAAGCUGCCGGUAGAUUCUCAUGGUUUCUCAAGUAAGAAAAGGAAGUCCAUCAAGCACAAUUUUAACUUUGAGUUGUUGCCAAGUAAUCUCUUCAGUAGCAGUUCUACACCAAUAUCAGUUCACUGUGAUACAAGCCCGGAAGGGUCAUCUCAGAGUUCAUUCUCUCCUGUCGCCAUCAGUGGAAACCAUUUGGUCAGUACAAAUGUGCUAAGGCGAAGUAAAAGGCUUGCAAGCAAAAAGGUUUGCAGGGUGGAAUCAGGAAAAGCAGGCUGCUUCUCUCCUAAAAUCAGCCGUAAAGAAAAGGUUCGAAGAUCUCUUCGUUUGAAAUUUAAUCUAGGGAAAAAUAGCAAAGAUGGAAAUGAGUGUUCUGGUAUCAAUAGAUCUGAAAAUGUUGGUCGACGACUUGCAAAUCAACAAAGUUUAAAAAAUAGGAUUGACUCUGUAAAAACAGGUCUGCUUUUUAGCCCAGAUACUGAUGAAAGAUUAACAAAGAAAGGUUCGAAAAAGAUCAGUAAGUCGGAGGGAAACUUAUUAACUCCAGAGCGACUAAGUGGAACAAAUUACCGGAUAUCUUGGAUAGGACCUAGUAAUUCAGAUUUUCAAGAAGUAGAUGGAAAUGAAGCUUCUCCAAUAGAUGGAACUCUUGAGGUGGAGAACUCUUCUUUGGAGCCUGAUAUGAUGGUUGAAAAGUCCCCUGUUAGUUCAUACGAGCUCACCCCUCCUAAUGUACACAGUAAGCACAGUAACAACAUAACUGGCAGCUCUCUUAGUGGUGAUGAAAAUAACUUGACCACAGAAACUGUGGUGAAAAUUCAGAAAGCAUUUUCUGAAUCUGGAAGUAAUCUUCAUGCAUUGAUAAAUCACAAGCAGUCAUCAUUAACUAAUGUGGAGAAAGUAAAAUUCAAUGAAACAUCUUCUACCAAAGGUAGCCCAGAGAAAAAUCUCAUGAAAACUAAUUUGACUGUGAUAGAAUCAAAUGGACACCAUACCAGUAACAAUGAAGAGAGCUUUUCAGAAAGAGACUUCUCACUACAUCAGCCUCAAAUAUCGGAUAGAGAAGCCACUAUAAAAUGUUACUCAACUCAAAUGAAGAUACAACUAGAAAACAACAUUCAUUUGAAUAUACCAACAGAUUAUUUAAGCAAGCAGGAGUUGCGCAGUGAUGAACAUGUAGGGAAACAAGAGUCCCCAAGGGAUACCCUCAAUACUAAAUUAAAGGAGCAUGAAAAUUUGAUUGAAGAGAACUUAUUGAAACACACAGCUUCUAGGGAGGUUGUGGCUAGCACCUCUUCCUUGGAACAGAGCACGUGCAGUAGCGCAAACCUGUCAAAACCUGGUCCUGGGGGAAUCAUUAAACAGCAGUCACUGGUGGAAACACGUGAUGAAACGGUUUCUGAAUGUUUACAAAUGACAGAGCAUGGAAGGGUUUCAGACCACAUACAGUGGUUUAACAGGCUCUCUUUAAAUGAACCAAAUAGGACAAAAGUUAAGUCACCUCUUAAGUUUCAGCGUACGCCUGUCCGUCAGUCAGUGAGAAGAAUCAAUUCUUUGUUGGAGUAUGGUGGACAACCUCCAAGGCGUAAAUUAGUGAGUCUUGGUGAUACUGCUUCUCCUCUGGUUAAAUCAGUGAGCUGUGAGAGUGCUCUUCCCUCUUGUGUAGAAAGUAUGACAAAAGAUUCCUCCCAUCCAUGUGCCAGAUCAGGUCCUAAAGAACAGAAGUCAUCUUGCAAGCAGUCAAAUAUUGAUAUGAUUUCAAAAUCAAGCAUGGAGGUAACUUCUACAUCUUUCUUACAAAUGAAGAGGCACUCACACUCUGUGAAUGCUUCUCUUGGGUCCACCAGAGUUUGUAAACAAGAAGCGAUAUCUAAUAGGCAAAUUAAGGUUCCCUUGGAUGAUCUAACAAACCAUGAUAUAGUAAAAUCUACUGUAAGUAAUGAUAAGGUCUUUCCCCCUGGCGUAAGCAGCAGGGUCCUUAGAAAACCAUCAGAAAAAGAGAGGAUCUGGUAUAAAGGUUCUCCAAAAAAUCCUAUUGGAAAAGUUCAACUACUACCAACAAGUAGACCUGUAGACUUAUAAUUGGUAAAUGUUGUACUUGUCAUUAAUGUAUAUAAAAUUAUCAAUUGGUGAUAUGACUUGCAAGGUAAUUGAUGUGUUUGUAGCUCAGGAUGAUAAGUGAUGAAUUUAAUUUCAUUGUACAAGGAACUUGAAUUCUUGUUUUUCUUAAUUAUGGCAAUAUUUAAGCUGUCUUUAAUUUUAUUGUGAUCUCUUAAAGCAGAGGUUACACUUUACUAUUUUAAAGAAAUUGUUGACUGGGUUUAUAAGAAGUUAAUUUUUGAAAAUUGGAUGAAUUUUAUUUUUUAACGUGUGAUAGAAUGGAGUGAGUUGUGCUGAUUUCUUGUUACUCCUAGGUCAGAUGAGGUUUCUCCAAGAAAUCUCAACACAUAGAGGAAGAGAUAAGCCCUGCAGAUCUUAUUUCUCAAAUUCCGUUAAUGUUCAGUGUCUUUAAAAAUCCCUAGAAGUUUGCUUCGAUAGCAUUUUAAUCCUUUGUUCCUUUUGGAUGUAAUUAGGUUUAUAUUGCCUGUAGAUGUGACAGUGUGUUCCCUUGAACUAAGAAUAAUGGCCAAUGCAGAAUGACGAUGACUCAAGUGUGCCCAUAUAGUAUGAGGCUGCAGAAAUAACAGACGACUUUUAAGCCAUACUAUAUUUUUAAAGUUCAUUUGCACAAAUACAUUUGUAUCUGUUUUGUCCAAUAUAGAAUUUAAAAUUUUUUAAGAAGGAGUAAUUAAGGUUGGAAGAUUUUAAUCAGAGUGAUUGCUUGUAUGCAGAUGCUUGGUUUUAGACUUUGAAGUGGUUGAUACGCCUCUGUACAUUUACCUUGGAUUCUUACAAGAACCUGUGAUGGCUUUGUCGUGUGUAAAUGUUAUUUAUUUAGCAUAGGCAUUAAAGAUAACUCUGGAAAAUGACUUGCCUGAGACUCUAAUGAAAUUCAAAGUACCUUUUAGAAUUUGAUCCGAAUUGUCAAGCUAAUCUACCUAAAUUGAUAUUUAAAUUAUUAGAAAUAACAAAGUUUUAAGGACAGAAUACUAUCAACAGUAGAGUGUAUCUAAGUUUUAGAAGAAGGAAUAUGCAUGCAGAAUCAAUCACUAAAGACAGUUUUGCAGGUCAGGUGUUAGAACGCCACAGUCAAAGGCGAGGGCAGAACAGAACCACACUGCACACCACUCAGAGCCACCAGGCAGCAUGAACAUGUGGGAGGAACUGAGAGUCAUCAGGGGUUUGCUUUACCAAGUCCUCCUUGAUAGCAGUACAUCUUAUUUAAAAGCUAGUUCCUCUUUCUAUAAUCACUACCUAGGAAUUGACCCUUUCUCAGAAUUAGGAAGUAUUAUUUAUUAUAUAAAGACUACAAUCUAUAGAUAGAAACAUCAUGUUUACCUGACAUCAAAACAGGUUUUUAAUACAGGUAUGCAUUUCUGUUGAUGGUAUUUCUAAUAGUAAGUGGAUAUAGAAAAUAUUCUUAAAUUCUGAGAUGUUUGUUGUUGCAAGCAGUUUUUUUUUAAAUUUAUUUUUAAAAACGUAUUAAUGUCCUUUGAUUUCCAUGGGAGUAGGUGAAAUGUUGAAUUGGAAGCCUAAUUCAGUAAGAAGACAAGAAAUUAACUGUACAAAUCACCGGAAUCAGUGGAUUUUCUGAGAGAUUAAUAAUAAAAGAUAUUUAUUAAGAAAAAAAAACUACCCA
rnacentral:lncRNA from 1 species